GGAGGAAAAGAAACCAACAGGGAUUGCCCCAGUAAUGGCGAAUGAAGCGGCAAGAGCCCAAAUUUGAAAUCGGGCAACCGAGUUGUAAUUUGGAGACGGGACACUAGAGAGGAGGAAGGCGAUUAAGUGCCUUGGAACAGGCUGCCGUAGAGGGUGAGAGCCCCGUGAAUCGCUGGAGACCGAUCAAUUAGUGCCCGCCGAAGAGUCGAGUUGUUUGGGAAUGCAGCUCUAAGUGGGUGGUAUAUUCCAUCUAAGGCUAAAUAUUAGCGAGAGACCGAUAGCAAACAAGUACAGUGAUGGAAAGAUGAAAAGAACUUUGGAAAGAGAGUGAAAUAGUACGUGAAAUUGUUGAAAGGGAAGGGUAUUUGAUCCGACAUGGUGUUUAGCAGCGGCCCGUUCCUCGUGGAUGGGUGCACCUGGUUUACACUGGGCCAGCAUCGGUUCUGGGAGCCAUAUACGGGGUUCGUGAAUGUGGCCCUUCGAUUCUGUCGGAGGGUGUUAUAGCGCGGGCAUCUUGUGGCUAGCCGGGACCGGGGACUGCGGUGACUUGUCACCAAGGAUGCUGGCAGAACGAGCAAAUACCACCCGUC
rnacentral:rRNA from 1 species